AUGGAUUUACCUGGACCAAUACAUGAGAUUCUUAUGCUAUUUGGGGCAUUUGUUCUUCUACUAGGGGGUCUAGGAGUAGUAUUACUUACCAACCCCAUUUAUUCUGCCUUUUUGCUGGGAUUAGUUCUUGUUUGUAUAUCCUUAUUCUAUUUUUUAAAUUCCUACUUUGUAGCUAUCGCACAACCUCUUAUUUAUGUGGGAGCUAUAAAUGUCUUGAUCAUAUUCGUUGUAAUGUUCGUUAAUGGCUCAGAAUGGUCUAAAGAUAAGAAUUAUUGGACUAUUGGACAUGGGUUCACUUCACUCAUUUGUAUAACUAUUAGUUUUUCACUAAUGACUACUAUCCCAGAUACAUCAUGGCAUGGAAUUCUUUGGACUACAAGGUCAAACCAAAUAGUAGAACAGGGUCUCAUAAAUAAUGUUCAACAAAUUGGAAUUCAUUUAGCAACCGAUUUUUAUCUUCCAUUUGAACUCAUUUCUAUAAUUCUUCUAGUUUCUUUAAUAGGUGCAAUUACUAUGGCUCAACAAUAA
rnacentral:rRNA from 1 species